UUCAUUUCCUCUUCUCUCUCUCCUUGCCGUCUCCAUGUUCUCCCCCCUCCACCAUUUUUGCUCAAGCUUUGAGCUUGAGUUUCUCUUCAUUUAUCCACCAAAACCCAUGGUCCCCUUCAUUAAAAAUUUAGCCCACAUCAUAAGGAAGCUCUAGGUACCCAUAGGGAGAAGGAAAGUUGAAGUUUUGGGAAAAUUUUCAAGUUGGGUCACAAGAGGUACUGAAGAUCAGCAGCCGCCACAGUAGUAUUCGGACAAAGUUCCGACCAGAUCUGCCACCGAUCAGCGUCACCUCACCAGUCUUUUGUAUUUUGGUAGGGCCCAUGUAUAGACUAGUAUUUUGGUUUAUUAUGUUUAGUCAUGAUGUAUUUCAUUUUGGACCUGUAAUUAAACUUUGAUAUUGAAAUGAAAACUUGUAAUUUAUUAUC